UCUUCCAGCAUUAUAUUUUGU
rnacentral:piRNA from 1 species